AACGAACGCUGGCGGCAUGCCUAACACAUGCAAGUCGAACGAGACCUUCGGGUCUAGUGGCGCACGGGUGCGUAACGCGUGGGAACCUGCCCUUAGGUUCGGAAUAACUCCCCGAAAGGGGUGCUAAUACCGGAUAAUGUCUUCGGACCAAAGAUUUAUCGCCUUUGGAUGGGCCCGCGUUGGAUUAGCUAGUUGGUAGGGUAAAAGCCUACCAAGGCGACGAUCCAUAGCUGGUCUGAGAGGAUGAUCAGCCACACUGGGACUGAGACACGGCCCAGACUCCUACGGGAGGCAGCAGUGGGGAAUAUUGGACAAUGGACGAAAGCCUGAUCCAGCAAUGCCGCGUGAGUGAUGAAGGCCUUAGGGUUGUAAAGCUCUUUUACCCGGGAUGAUAAUGACAGUACCGGGAGAAUAAGCUCCGGCUAACUCCGU
rnacentral:rRNA from 1 species